rnacentral:rRNA from 1 species
GACGAAGGUGGCAAGCGUUGUUCGGAAUCACUGGGCAUAAAGCGUGCGUAGGCGGCCAGAUCAGUCGGGUGUGAAAUCCCCGAGCUCAACUCGGGAACUGCGUCCGAUACUGGCGGGCUUGAAUCCGGGAGAGGGAUGUGGAAUUCCAGGUGUAGCGGUGAAAUGCGUAGAUAUCGGGAGGAACACCGGUGGCGAAGGCGGCGUCCUGGACCAACACUGACACUGAGGAGCGAAAGCCAGGGGAGCAAACGGG